CAAGAACUCCGAAUCAUUCUCUUGAGGCUCAUCCUCUUCAUCAUAAAUGAUCCGCUUGCCCCGAAAUGACCUAGCCCAAUAGGGAACUCCCAAUGAAUUGGGCCUUUCGAUACAAUCAAAUAGAAAGCCCCAAGGGCUCCAUAUUCUAGGAGCCCAAACUAUGUGAUUGAAUAAAUCCUCCUCUAUCUGUUGCGGGUCGAGGACUCCUUCCCCUUCUUCAAACUUCGAUUCGUAUUUUUGAUAGAGAAAUAUCUGAUCAACGAUAGAAGAAGAUCCAUUUUGUAUCAUAUCUAAGGGAUUCCUGGGUUCGGGCCGAAGAAGCAAUGUCACUCGAUCAUUAUCAAAUCGACUGCAAUCUUUUUCUGUCCAUGAGGAUCCAAACAGAGCGCCUUCUACUUCUAAUAGGCCAUGAACUAGAUGAGAAUCAUUCUCAACGAGUACAUAAGAAGUGAUCCCAUUUUUUUCAUCGGGUCCGGAUAGAGACCAAAGGUCUUGAACGACCGAUCCGGCAGAACAAUUCAAAAGAUAAAGAAGUAUCGUUAAUUUCUUCAUGCUCGUUUCAAGUUCGAAGUACCAGUUGUACAAAUAAGAACCCCCUUCGUUACAUGAUUUCUUCUUCAUAUAGAUAGAUAUAGGAUCUAUGGAGCAAUUACUUAGAAGUACAUUUUGUGCAAGAGCCCUUCCUAUCUGAUAGAAAAGGAUCCCAUGAUCCUGAACUGAUCUUACCUGGGAUCGCAAAUCCCAAGUUUGUCUAUGAAGAGCAGAUCUAAUUAUAUUAGUGUCUAUAAUUGAUUUCCUCUGCGUAAUACUAAUCGAUAGGGCCUCAUUGGUAAGUGCUACAAGAUCUCGUACAUUGGAACCCAUGGUUAUGGAACCGAAUCCAUUAGUAUGGAACAUUUUCUUUUCCAAGUGAAAUCCCCUAGUAUAUGAAAGAGUGAAAAAGUGCUUUCGUUGUUGUGGAAUAAGAAGCCUUCGUAUUUUAAUGCAUGUAUUCAAUUUAUUCGGAGCUAUUAGAGCGGGAUCCACUUUUUGGGGAAUAUGGGUCGAAGCAAUAACAAGAAUAUUUGUAGUGGAACAUCUUUCAAAAUCCCUGUAGAGAUAGUUCACUAAUAGACCAAAGUAUAAGUGACUCGACUUAUUCACAUACAGAUCAUGAAUGUUUGGAAUCCAUAUUAUGCAAGGAGACAUUGCUUUUACUAAUUCGAAUUGAAGGGUGAUAUAAAAUUGGUCUAUUUCCAGCUUCAUCUCCAUAGUUAGCGCAUUCAUCAUAGUUAGAAGCUCCAGCUCCGUAUCAAUAUCAAGGUCACGGUCGAUAUCGUCACUAUCAUCAAUAUCGCCACUAUCAUCAAUAUCGUCACUAUCAUCGUCACUAUCAUCAAUAAACUUAGGCUUGUUAUCCCGGAACUUGUUCUGAAAUACUGUAAUUCAAGGAAGAUAGGAGUUUGUCGCUAGGUAUUUGACCAAAUAGGAUCGUCCAGUUCCUAUAGAACCUAUCACUAAAAUACCCGGGGAGAGGGCUAAGCGGAGCGAAAAGAGUUUUCCAUGAGAUGGGAAAUGAAAACUAUUAGCCCCACACGAGGUUUGUGAAUGAGUGAUUGUCUGAUAAUGAGCAAGGAAUGUCCGUCUUUCUGCUAAACAGGAUGUAUUGAACUUAUAAUUCAUUAGAUACUUUUUCUGAAUGUCAACUAAGUAUCGUAAGUAAAUUACUCCCGGUUGUUCAAUCAUUUGAUAACCAGAGUCAUUCUUUGAUAAAUGAUCACUAUGAGUCAGACUCAAUAGAAUUUGAUCAAUCCUUUUUUCUGUCGUUAAGGUGGAGAACUGAACCAAGAAUUCUCUUUCUUUAUCAUCAAUCGAAUCACUGUUCCAGACCCAGGAUUGGAUUUUCUCAUCAAUCCAAUCACCGUUCACAUUUUUUCUUAUCAAUGAAUAUAUCUCUUUACUUGUAUGACUUAGAUGUCUCGUAUUUCUCGAAAAAGCGAUUCGAUUGAUGGGAUUUGGUAUGAUACUUAUGAGAUUGAUGAGAUUGAUAUUCCAAUCUUUCUUCUUCGAACGUAUUGAUUUGACCCCAUAAGCGGGACCGCCACCAGAAGCAGAACCCCAUAUUUCUUCUAGAGAAUCUCCUAAUUGUUCCAGAGCAACUAGAAAGAGAUUCUUUAACCAGAAAGAAUUCCGUUCAUAUGUGGGAUACCUAUCCAGAAGUUUUCGCAACUCAAUCAUGUAUGAUGGAAUCAUCAAAGAUUUGACCUUUUCGAACUCUGUCUGUAACUCACUAUAGGCUCGAGAAACAAAGAGAAGAUGUGUACGAACGAGAUAUACAGCAAUAAGAAGAAGGAAAAGGAUUGAAUAGAGGAACUCCCGAACAUUUGGCGAUCUCAGAUGUGUCGAUAUCGAUGGUGACUCAUUAUUUCGAUGAAUCAUUUCUUCGGACAGAAGAAGAUUAGGUAAACACUUAAUCGAAAUCUCACUUAUCAGAUUCCAUUGUGGAAGACACAAUUUUUUC
rnacentral:lncRNA from 1 species